UUGUUUUAACUGAUUCGUGGCAGGAAUCAUUUUGUUUGUCAGUAUCUAAGGAUUAAUUCGUCCACAUUUAAAAGUAUAAUAUUCAACUUCGUUCUGCUUCGGAGACGAAGAAAUGGAAAUAUACGUGGAAAGCCUGCAAUUCAAGUUAUAUAAGACGACUGAACCUUUAUUAGCCUACUGAACGUGCCUGUUAACGGUGUAUGGAGUAAUAUUUUUCACCCGUGGAACGUUCCAGCGCGAAGAACACGUAGUCACAGUCGUCGAUGGUAUUCACUCGAGAUGCAAUUGAAUUUAACCGAAUUGAGAUAAUUAAUACUUGACGGGAUAGCGAACAGAGGCGAAAGAUAAAUCCUGAUAAAUUAAAAGCCUCGAAAAGUGGAGGAGCAAUGGUAGGCGAGCGUCGACCGUGGAUAGCUGUACAAAGGAUUUACGAUCCUGCUGCUCCUCUUGCUUAUUAACCGGCUCGAGCGGAACCCUAAUUACGCUUACGGUGCAAGCGCGUAAUUAUACUGUCCCCCGAAAAAGCAAGCGGAAUGAAAGCGACGACGGAUUUCCGGAGCACCCGGGGAUGCUUCUAAAUCUAAAUGUGAGCUCGCAAGCAAAAUUGGAAAGAGAGAGAUGAGAGACAGCCUAACCAUUCUGGAGUAAGGAAGAUAGAUAGAAAGGGAGUGUAGAAACUAGAGAGAUCGGUCCUGGGUUCGUCGACCCCCCAGUUGGGCCACAGAAAGACGAGUUAUGCUUCCAUUUUCAUCUUUGGCAACCUGCCAAAGUUUCGUCUGGACCGAUCUCAUCUCUUCUCCCACUGGCAUCAGUCAACGACAGUAUUUUUUUUCCAUCUGUCUCCGCGUCAAGAUCUCAGGUUAUAGAGGUAUACACGUGAAUAAUCAAAAA